GGACAGGGCUACAUGCACCAGGACACGCAGGGGUUGAUGUUUGGACAUGACUGUGAAUACAAAAGACACAAGGGAUUCUGCAGUGAGACAGAAAGAAAUGAGCACUGCAUACAUGCCGACAGCGCAGAUUGAAGAUGCUCCCUAACGUCUAUGUGCAUCCAUCCCCAGCUGUACAAAUGAUGCAUUUUCCCAGCAAGGUGGACUCAAGGCACUCUGCACCUCUCCUCGCUUUGUAUUCUGACUACAUUAGAAGGUGAGAAGACAUUAAAUUUGCCUUUUGCCAUUCUGAAAUGGACAGUCUGAUAAAGGAACAGCCACUUGCAUGAAGAUACAAUAGGCCAUUGGAAGGAGCUGUCGGUUGAGGACCAGCCCUCAGCUUCCCAGAAUACCACUCUUCCCAUAGAAGCACACUACUGUCUACUGGAAGAUCAUCAAUUGAACUUAGCCUAUUUUUCAUUUUGCCUCAUAAAAUCAGCCUUCCAACCCUUCACUCAUUUUUAUUCUCUUUCAGCUCAUCUCUAAGAGUUCCACGUGGCAUAAGAUAAUGUAACUUUUCAAUAAAACAUAAAAUAAUCAGUUCAUUUAUUCAUCAGAAGUCUCAGCCUUCUAGCUUUACUAUUUUUCUGUAUCUCCCAGUAAAAAUAAUUCUUUGCUGCUA